AACGAACGCUGGCGGCAGGCUUAACACAUGCAAGUCGAGCGCCCCGCAAAGGGAGCGGCAGACGGGUGAGUAACGCGUGGGAAUCUACCCAUCUCUACGGAAUAACGCAUGGAAACGUGUGCUAAUACCGUAUACGUCCUUCGGGAGAAAGAUUUAUCGGAGAUGGAUGAGCCCGCGUUGGAUUAGCUAGUUGGUGGGGUAAAGGCCUACCAAGGUGACGAUCCAUAGCUGGUCUGAGAGGAUGAUCAGCCACACUGGGACUGAGACACGGCCCAGACUCCUACGGGAGGCAGCAGUGGGGAAUAUUGGACAAUGGGCGCAAGCCUGAUCCAGCCAUGCCGCGUGAGUGAUGAAGGCCCUAGGGUUGUAAAGCUCUUUCACCGGUGAAGAUAAUGACGGUAACCGGAGAAGAAGCCCCGGCUAACUUCGUGCCAGCAGCCGCGGUAACAC
rnacentral:rRNA from 1 species